rnacentral:rRNA from 1 species
CUUCGGGAUGUAAACUUCGCAAGAACGGGAAGAAUAAGUCUGUGCAAAUAUCACAGAUGAUGACGGUACCGUUUGUAAGCUCCGGCUAACUCCGUGCCAGCAGCCGCGGUAAUACGGGGGGAGCAAGCGUUGUUCGGAUUUACUGGGCGUAAAGGGCGCGUAGGCGGCCACCGCAAGUCGACUGUGAAAUCUCCGGGCUUAACCCGGAACGGUCAGCCGAUACUGCGGGGCUAGAGUGCAGAAGGGGCAACUGGAAUUCUCGGUGUAGCGGUGAAAUGCGUAGAUAUCGAGAGGAACACCUGCGGCGAAGGCGGGUUGCUGGGCUGACACUGACGCUGAGGCGCGAAAGCUAGGGGAGCGAACGGGAUUAGAUACCCCGGUAGUCCUAGCCUUAAACGAUGAAUGCUUGGUGUCUGGGGUUUUAUAGUCCCCGGGUGCCGUCGCUAACGCUUUAAGCAUUCCGCCUGGGGAGUACGGUCGCAAGACUGAAACUCAAAGGAAUUGACGGGGACCCGCACAAGCGGUGGAGCAUGUGGUUUAAUUCGACGCAACGCGAAGAACCUUACCUGGGCUAGAAUGCCUCUGACAGCCGUAGAGAUACAGCCUCCUGGGUAAAACCAGGCAGAGUGCAAGGUGCUGCAUGGCUGUCGUCAGCUCGUGUCGCGAGAUGUUGGGUUAAGUCCCGCAACGAGCGCAAC